AUAGGUCCCUGGCAGGGGAGAUACCAUGAUCAUGAAGGUGGUUUUCCCAGGGCAAGGCUUAUUCAUUGCUCCAGAUGUGCUGACCCCUGUGAUUUCUCCAAAUGCAGGAAACUCGACUGCAUAAUUAUGGUCGGUGGGGGAACUGCGUUCAGCCUCCCG
rnacentral:snRNA from 1 species